GGUUAAGCGACUAAGCGUACACGGUGGAUGCCCUGGCAGUCAGAGGCGAUGAAGGACGUGCUAAUCUGCGAAAAGCGUCGGUAAGGUGAUAUGAACCGUUAUAACCGGCGAUGUCCGAAUGGGGAAACCCAGUGUGAUUCGUCACACUAUCGUUAACUGAAUACAUAGGUUAACGAGGCGAACCGGGGGAACUGAAACAUCUAAGUACCCCGAGGAAAAGAAAUCAACCGAGAUUCCCCCAGUAGCGGCGAGCGAACGGGGAGCAGCCCAGAGUCUGAAUCAGCUUGUGUGUUAGUGGAACGGUCUGGAAAGUCCGACGGUACAGGGUGAUAGUCCCGUACACCAAAAUGCACAGGUUGUGAACUCGAAGAGUAGGGCGGGACACGUGGUAUCCUGUCUGAAUAUGGGGGGACCAUCCUCCAAGGCUAAAUACUCCUGACUGACCGAUAGUGAACCAGUACCGUGAGGGAAAGGCGAAAAGAACCCCGGCGAGGGGAGUGAAAAAGAACCUGAAACCGUGUACGUACAAGCAGUGGGAGCACCUUCGGGUGUGACUGCGUACCUUUUGUAUAAUGGGUCAGCGACUUAUAUUCUGUAGCAAGGUUAACCGUAUAGGGGAGCCGCAGGGAAACCGAGUCUUAACUGGGCGUUAAGUUGCAGGGUAUAGACCCGAAACCCGGUGAUCUAGCCAUGGGCAGGUUGAAGGUUGGGUAACACUAACUGGAGGACCGAACCGACUAAUGUUGAAAAAUUAGCGGAUGACUUGUGGCUGGGGGUGAAAGGCCAAUCAAACCGGGAGAUAGCUGGUUCUCCCCGAAAGCUAUUUAGGUAGCGCCUCGUGAACUCAUCUUCGGGGGUAGAGCACUGUUUCGGCUAGGGGGUCAUCCCGACUUACCAACCCGAUGCAAACUACGAAUACCGAAGAAUGUUAUCACGGGAGACACACGGCGGGUGCUAACGUCCGUCGUGAAGAGGGAAACAACCCAGACCGCCAGCUAAGGUCCCAAAGUCAUGGUUAAGUGGGAAACGAUGUGGGAAGGCACAGACAGCCAGGAUGUUGGCUUAGAAGCAGCCAUCAUUUAAAGAAAGCGUAAUAGCUCACUGGUCGAGUCGGCCUGCGCGGAAGAUGUAACGGGGCUAAACCAUGCACCGAAGCUGCGGCAGCGACACUAUGUGUUGUUGGGUAGGGGAGCGUUCUGUAAGCCUGCGAAGGUGUGCUGUGAGGCAUGCUGGAGGUAUCAGAAGUGCGAAUGCUGACAUAAGUAACGAUAAAGCGGGUGAAAAGCCCGCUCGCCGGAAGACCAAGGGUUCCUGUCCAACGUUAAUCGGGGCAGGGUGAGUCGACCCCUAAGGCGAGGCCGAAAGGCGUAGUCGAUGGGAAACAGGUUAAUAUUCCUGUACUUGGUGUUACUGCGAAGGGGGGACGGAGAAGGCUAUGUUAGCCGGGCGACGGUUGUCCCGGUUUAAGCAUGUAGGCUGGUUGUCCAGGCAAAUCCGGAUAAUCAAGGCUGAGGUGUGAUGACGAGGCACUACGGUGCUGAAGUAACAAAUGCCCUGCUUCCAGGAAAAGCCUCUAAGCAUCAGGUAACAUCAAAUCGUACCCCAAACCGACACAGGUGGUCAGGUAGAGAAUACCAAGGCGCUUGAGAGAACUCGGGUGAAGGAACUAGGCAAAAUGGUGCCGUAACUUCGGGAGAAGGCACGCUGGUGUGUAGGUGAAGUCCCUGCGGAUGGAGCUGAGACCAGUCGAAGAUACCAGCUGGCUGCAACUGUUUAUUAAAAACACAGCACUGUGCAAACACGAAAGUGGACGUAUACGGUGUGACGCCUGCCCGGUGCCGGAAGGUUAAUUGAUGGGGUUAUCCGUAAGGAGAAGCUCUUGAUCGAAGCCCCGGUAAACGGCGGCCGUAACUAUAACGGUCCUAAGGUAGCGAAAUUCCUUGUCGGGUAAGUUCCGACCUGCACGAAUGGCGUAAUGAUGGCCAGGCUGUCUCCACCCGAGACUCAGUGAAAUUGAACUCGCUGUGAAGAUGCAGUGUACCCGCGGCAAGACGGAAAGACCCCGUGAACCUUUACUAUAGCUUGACACUGAACAUUGAGCCUUGAUGUGUAGGAUAGGUGGGAGGCUUUGAAGCGUGGACGCCAGUCUGCGUGGAGCCAACCUUGAAAUACCACCCUUUAAUGUUUGAUGUUCUAACGUUGGCCCCUGACCGGGGUUGCGGACAGUGUCUGGUGGGUAGUUUGACUGGGGCGGUCUCCUCCCAAAGCGUAACGGAGGAGCACGAAGGUUAGCUAAUCCUGGUCGGACAUCAGGAGGUUAGUGCAAUGGCAUAAGCUAGCUUGACUGCGAGCGUGACGGCGCGAGCAGGUGCGAAAGCAGGUCAUAGUGAUCCGGUGGUUCUGAAUGGAAGGGCCAUCGCUCAACGGAUAAAAGGUACUCCGGGGAUAACAGGCUGAUACCGCCCAAGAGUUCAUAUCGACGGCGGUGUUUGGCACCUCGAUGUCGGCUCAUCACAUCCUGGGGCUGAAGUAGGUCCCAAGGGUAUGGCUGUUCGCCAUUUAAAGUGGUACGCGAGCUGGGUUUAGAACGUCGUGAGACAGUUCGGUCCCUAUCUGCCGUGGGCGCUGGAGAAUUGAGGGGGGCUGCUCCUAGUACGAGAGGACCGGAGUGGACGCAUCACUGGUGUUCGGGUUGUCAUGCCAAUGGCACUGCCCGGUAGCUAAAUGCGGAAGAGAUAAGUGCUGAAAGCAUCUAAGCACGAAACUUGCCCCGAGAUGAGUUCUCCCUGAGACUUUAAGUCUCCUGAAGGAACGUUAAAGACGAUGACGUUGAUAGGCCGGGUGUGUAAGCGCAGCGAUGCGUUGAGCUAACCGGUACUAAUGAACCGUGAGGCUUAACCUU
rnacentral:rRNA from 1 species